GAGUUUGAUCAUGGCUCAGGAUGAACGCUGGCGGCGUGCCUAAUACAUGCAAGUCGAGCGAACAGACGAGGAGCUUGCUCCUCUGACGUUAGCGGCGGACGGGUGAGUAACACGUGGAUAACCUACCUAUAAGACUGGGAUAACUUCGGGAAACCGGAGCUAAUACCGAAUAAUAUAUUGAACCGCAUGGUUCAGUAGUGAAAAACGGUUUUGCUGUCACUUAUAGAUGGAUCCGCGCCGCAUUAGCUAGUUGGUAGGGUAACGGCUUACCAAGGCGACGAUGCGUAGCCGACCUGAGAGGGUGAUCGGCCACACUGGAACUGAGACACGGGUCCAGACUCCUACGGGAGGCAGCAGUAGGGAAUCUUCCGCAAUGGGCGAAAGCCUGACGGAGCAACGCCGCGUGAGUGAUGAAGGUCUUCGGAUCGUAAAACUCUGUUAUUAGGGAAGAACAAUGUGUAAGUAACUAUGCACGUCUUGACGGUACCUAAUCAGAAAGCCACGGCUAACUACGUGCC
rnacentral:rRNA from 1 species